CUACGGGUCGCUCCAGUGGGGAAUAUUGCACAAUGGAGGAAACUCUGAUGCAGCAACGCCGCGUGGAGGAUGACACUUUUCGGAGCGUAAACUCCUUUUAUAUAGGAAGAAGAUGACGGUACUAUAUGAAUAAGCGCCGGCUAACUCCGUGUCAGCAGCCGCGGUAAUACGGAGGGCGCAAGCGUUACUCGGAAUCACUGGGCGUAAAGAGCGUGUAGGCGGAUUAAAAAGUCAGAAGUGAAAUCCUAUAGCUUAACUAUAGAACUGCUUCUGAAACUCUUAAUCUAGAAUAUGGGAGAGGUAGAUGGAAUUUCUGGUGUAGGGGUAAAAUCCGUAGAGAUCAGAAGGAAUACCGAUUGCGAAGGCGAUCUACUAGAACAUUAUUGACGCUGAGACGCGAAAGCGUGGGGAGCAAACAGGAUUAGAUACCCUGGUAGUC
rnacentral:rRNA from 1 species